UACGUAGGGUGCAAGCGUUGUCCGGAAUUAUUGGGCGUAAAGAGCUCGUAGGCGGUCUGUCGCGUCUGCUGUGAAAACUCAGGGCUUAACCCUGAGCUUGCAGUGGGUACGGGCAGACUAGAGUGCGGUAGGGGAGACUGGAAUUCCUGGUGUAGCGGUGAAAUGCGUAGAUAUCUGGAGGAACACCGGUGGCGAAGGCGGCAUCCUGGACCAACACUGACGCUGAUGAGCGAAAGCCAGGGGAGCAAACGGG
rnacentral:rRNA from 1 species